CAGCAGCCGCGGUAAUACGUAGGGUGCAAGCGUUAAUCGGAAUUACUGGGCGUAGAGCGUGCGCAGGCGGUUUGUUAAGACAGAUGUGAAAUCCUCGGGCUCAACCUGGGGGCUGCGCUUGAUACUUGGUUGCUUGAGUGGGGAAGAGGGUCGUGGAAUUCCCAGUGUAGAGGUGAAAUUCGUAGAUAUUGGGAAGAACACCGGUGGCGAAGGCGGCGACCUGGUCCUUGACUGACGCUGAGGCGCGAAAGCGUGGGGAGCAAACAGGAUUAGAUACCCCCGUAGUCCCUGUCUCUUAUAC
rnacentral:rRNA from 1 species